ACCUAGCGGCGGACGGGUGAGUAAUGCUUAGGAAUCUGCCUAUUAGUGGGGGACAACAUUCCGAAAGGAAUGCUAAUACCGCAUACGCCCUACGGGGGAAAGCAGGGGAUCUUCGGACCUUGCGCUAAUAGAUGAGCCUAAGUCGGAUUAGCUAGUUGGUGGGGUAAAGGCCUACCAAGGCGACGAUCUGUAGCGGGUCUGAGAGGAUGAUCCGCCACACUGGGACUGAGACACGGCCCAGACUCCUACGGGAGGCAGCAGUGGGGAAUAUUGGACAAUGGGCGCAAGCCUGAUCCAGCCAUGCCGCGUGUGUGAAGAAGGCCUUUUGGUUGUAAAGCACUUUAAGCGAGGAGGAGGCUCCUUUAGUUAAUACCUAAAGUGAGUGGACGUUACUCGCAGAAUAAGCACCGGCUAACUCUGUGCCAGCAGCCGCGGUAAUACAGAGGGUGCGAGCGUUAAUCGGAUUUACUGGGCGUAAAGCGUGCGUAGGCGGCUUUUUAAGUCGGAUGUGAAAUCCCUGAGCUUAACUUAGGAAUUGCAUUCGAUACUGGAAAGCUAGAGUAUGGGAGAGGAUGGUAGAAUUCCAGGUGUAGCGGUGAAAUGCGUAGAGAUCUGGAGGAAUACCGAUGGCGAAGGCAGCCAUCUGGCCUAAUACUGACGCUGAGGUACGAAAGCAUGGGGAGCAAACAGGAUUAGAUACCCUGGUAGUCCAUGCCGUAAACGAUGUCUACUAGCCGUUGGGGCCUUUGAGGCUUUAGUGGCGCAGCUAACGCGAUAAGUAGACCGCCUGGGGAGUACGGUCGCAAGACUAAAACUCAAAUGAAUUGACGGGGGCCCGCACAAGCGGUGGAGCAUGUGGUUUAAUUCGAUGCAACGCGAAGAACCUUACCUGGCCUUGACAUACUAAGAACUUUCCAGA
rnacentral:rRNA from 1 species